AUUGCCGUGAAAAAGAAUGCCUUGGCAACACUGCUUACCCAACGUCAUAAAAAUUUUUCGCAUUCCUUUCAUCAAAAUUGCGAAAAUUUAGUGAAUAUUCUUUUGAUUAUUAAGGAGUCCAAUUUAUUUUCGCCACCAAAAAUUGAGAAAUCGUAAGCGUUUCAAAUUGAGGACAGCAGAGGCUAUGAAAGAAUGUCGUAAAAAAGUGCACAGCCAAAGAGAAAUAGAAUCGUAGAAAUCAUUUGCUGGAAUGGAAUUACAACAAUUGUUUUGAAUUUAUGAGGUCAUUUUGCCCAAAUUGGUAUCAUUGUUUUUGUGUUGCUGCCUCUGAGCUCUGAGUGCGGUUAUUGUGUUUUGUUCGCGCCGUGUUUGCGUGUGUGUGUGUUUGUGAAUCUUAAGUGAAACAUUGUGAAAUUUCACCAAAUUAAUUUGCAUUUGAUCAGAAGAUUUAAAAGCAACCAACACCACCACCAGCGCUAAAAACAAAAAAGAAUCUCAGAAUAAAACUCAGUAUGAGUUGGAGUUUGGAGUCGCUGGGAAUUGCCGAUUUUAAUUUUUGAAAAAAAAGAUAACAGCUACAACAUUUACGCGCGGUAUUGAUUUGUGUGCUAGAGCGACUCUCAAGUAAAAGUAAAUUUUUAAAUCUCUUUUGUGCGUUACUUUUCGUGUUAUUGCUAUUUGCUGACUCCCAUCCCAUCCAUCCACCCACUCGGCCGAAGAAAUUGUGAAAAUAUAUACUCUGCAAAUUUGUUGAUAAAAAAGGAAAAUACGACAAAUGUUCAGUAACCAGCAGACAUUUUGACGACAACGGCAUAAGGCAAGCAAAGAAAAAAAAAAGAAUUCAACACAAUAUCUGUUUUAUCAACGCCACCCGCCGCCAGCCUGCCAACCAGCCAACAACACCACCAACAAAAUUAACAACAACAAGACAAAUACUCAACCAAAAAAUAAAAUCAAGCCAAAACUCGUUUGUGUGCAACGAACAAAAAUAUAUUUUUAUUUAAAAGAAAAGAAAAUUUUGAAUUAGAAAAGGAAAAGAAAAUUGUGAAAGUGUCUUAAAAUAGUUGAAGAAGAAGAAAAAUCAAACAGAAAAACAAAUAAAUUUACUUCAAAAUUGCAUAAAAUUCGGAAGAAAUACACAUCAUAAAUACUCUUUUGGAUCAACAACAGCACCAACAUGGAAUCAGCCUUGGAUGUUUUAUCACGUGCCGCCGCCACCAUCAUGGUGCAGCAGGACAGUGCGAAUGCACACACAAUUCUUGUUAAAGAAUGUUGAAAGAAACCCCUAUGGCCGGAAGCAAGGUGAAUUCACAUUUGACACCGUACUUGGGUUCAGUCAUUUGAA